AUUGAACGCUGGCGGCAGGCCUAACACAUGCAAGUCGAGCGGAUGAAGGGAGCUUGCUCCUGGAUUCAGCGGCGGACGGGUGAGUAAUGCCUAUGAAUCUGCCUGGUAGUGGGGGAUAACGUCCGGAAACGGUCGCUAAUACCGCAUACGUCCUGAGGGAGAAAGUGGGGGAUCUUCGGACCUCACGCUAUCAGAUGAGCCUAGGUCGGAUUAUCUAGUUGGUGGGGUAAAGGCCUACCAAGGCGACGAUCCGUAACUGGUCUGAGAGGAUGAUCAGUCACAAUGGAAGUGAGACACGGUCCAGACUCCUACGGGAGGCAGCAGUGGGGAAUAUUGGACAAUGGGAGAAAGACUGAUCCAGCCAUGCCGCGUGUGUGAAGAAGGUCUUCGGAUUGUAAAGCACUUUAAGUUGGGAGGAAGGGCAGUAAGUUAAUACCUUGCUGUUUUGACGUUACCAACAGAAUAAGCACCGGCUAACUUCGUG
rnacentral:rRNA from 1 species